CGCCUGCGUCUGUAGCGAGUGAGGGCACGCUCGAAGGUCACGUGGCCCUUCUACGUGGAGCUGGAGGAACGAAGCCGCAGGCAGGGGCGCUCACAGCAGAGAGGAAAACGUGGUGGCAAACAGGCAGAUCCUGAAAAGCCGGAGCAGCUGAGGUUCCAUUACAGCCAGGGUUGCCACUGUGACAACAGUGAUGAACAGCCGUCGAGCAGCAUUUACCAUCUUUCCUGCCACACCAAUGGCUCCACAUUGAAUGGAAAUGGGCCCAGCACUCUGGCUGUGUGUGAGAAUCCUGCACCCCUAGCUGGACCUUGGGCCGUUCCAGAGGAAACCACAGCCCCAGCUGGAAACCAAGAUGAAGAACUUCUAGAAGACUUAAAUCUUCAUUUGGAUACUGAAGAAUCAAACAAGGAGUUCAUGGCAGAAAGUGAAGAACUGUACGAUUCCCUCAGGAGCUGUCACUGGCUGUCUCUAGACACCAUCCUGUCUAACAUGCCUGAUGAGCCCAACCCCACCCCCAAUGUGAAACAAGUAUUCAUCACGACCUCCAGCUGACCUAUUAAUUGUGUCUUGCUUUGGGUUUGGAAAAAAAAAAAUCCAGGAAUGUAUUCGAUUCUGAAUAUAUUACUCCUCCCCCUCUCCUUUUUCUGGUACUGGAGUUGAGCCCAGGGUCGUGUGUGUGUGUGUGUGUGUGUGUGUGUGUGUGUGUGUGUGAGGAAAGCAUUCCACCAGCCCUCAAACACUGCAUACAAAUAUAAACCUCUGGGAUUUCAGGGAGACUGAGAUGAUGGAAUAUGGUGUAAAUAAGGCUUAGCAGCACAGCCAUUCCAGGAAGUGUUAUCUUAAAUCUGUUCCAGAAGAAUUCAUGUGACUGACAAGGCAGAAAUUACGAGAUGAGGUUGGAGAUGGAUUUUAUAGAGAUGGGUUAGUGGCCUUCGCUACUGUGCCUUGCUGACUUCCUGUAACAGUACUCUCAGGAGAAAUCGGAUGCACAUGGGAUAUACAAUUUCUCUUGGCAUCCUGUCUGGCAAAUGUCAAUUAGAAUUAGAGUCUCAAUCUUCACUGGCCCUCAGGCUCUGUUUAAAGAAGUUGGUUUCACAGUAGAAGGCAGUGGAGAGUCACUCAGUUGAACAGAAAGAUUCCUAAACAUGGACAAAGUUCACCUCGUCCACACAGCCUGAUGGUUUUUCUAAGAUCACGGCAUUGGGAUUUUAUAGAAGCCAGUUGUGAAGCUUCAGUGUGUAUCGUGACUGUGUUUAUGAAGUGGGGGUGGUGUAGUCGGGAAGAUGGUUCAGUGACUAAGAGCACUAGUUGCUCUUCCAGAGGCCUUAGGUUCAAUACCCGGCACUUACAUGACAAUUCACAAUCACCUGUAACUCCAGUUCCAGGGUAUCUGAUGCCCUCCUCUGUCCUCUAUGGGAACCAGGCAUAUAUAUGUUGCAUAGGAAAAACAUUCAUAAAACAGUAAGUUAUAAAAACUUAAA